UGAGGAAUAUUGGUCAAUGGCCGGGAGGCUGAACCAGCCAAGCCGCGUGAGGGAAGAAGGUACAGAGUAUCGUAAACCUCUUUUGUCAGGGGAUAACAUCCUGUUUGCGAACGGGACUGAAGGUACCUGAAGAAAAAGCAUCGGCUAACUCCGUGCCAGCAGCCGCGGUAAUACGGAGGAUGCGAGCGUUAUCCGGAUUUAUUGGGUUUAAAGGGUGCGUAGGCGGACACUUAAGUCAGCGGUGAAAUCCCGGGGCUCAACCCCGGCGAGCCGUUGAAACUGGGUGACUGGAGUAGGUGAAAGGUAAGCGGAAUGCGCGGUGUAGCGGUGAAAUGCAUAGAUAUCGCGCAGAACUCCGAUUGCGAAGGCAGCUUACCGGCGCCACACUGACGCUGAGGCACGAAAGCGUGGGUAUCGAACAGG
rnacentral:rRNA from 1 species